CAGGUGGGCCGGGCGACCGCGCGGCGUCGUCGUUCGCGACGGCGUCGAGGAAAGUCCGGGCUCCGCAGAGCAGGACGGUGGGUAACGCCCAGCUCGGGGAAACCCGCAGGACAGUGCCACAGAAAACAGACCGCCCGCCACGAGCGGGUCAGGGUGAAAAGGUGGUGUAAGAGACCACAGCGCCGGGUGACCGGUGCAGCUCGGUAAACCCCGUCCGGAGCAAGGCCAUCCGGCGCGUUCGAGGGCUGCUCGCCCGAGACGGCUCCGGGUAGGCUGCUCAGCCGUGCGGCGGUCACAGGCCUGCAGUGAUGGUCGUCAGCCACGGUGCGGGCGACCGGCCGCGGCACAAGAACCGGCUCACGGCCCACCUGUCCA
rnacentral:RNase_P_RNA from 1 species